UGGGGAAUAUUGCACAAUGGGCGCAAGCCUGAUGCAGCCAUGCCGCUUGUGUGAAGAAGGCCUUCGGGUUGUAAAGCACUUUCAGCGGGGAGGAAGGCGGUGAGGUUAAUAACCUCACCGAUUGACGUUACCCGCAGAAGAAGCACCGGCUAACUCCGUGCCAGCAGCCGCGGUAAUACGGAGGGUGCAAGCGUUAAUCGGAAUUACUGGGCGUAAAGCGCACGCAGGCGGUCUGUCAAGUCGGAUGUGAAAUCCCCGGGCUCAACCUGGGAACUGCAUUCGAAACUGGCAGGCUAGAGUCUUGUAGAGGGGGGUAGAAUUCCAGGUGUAGCGGUGAAAUGCGUAGAGAUCUGGAGGAAUACCGGUGGCGAAGGCGGCCCCCUGGACAAAGACUGACGCUCAGGUGCGAAAGCGUGGGGAGCAAACAGG
rnacentral:rRNA from 1 species